UUGUACCCGCUAGGCCUGUUUAUAGAC
rnacentral:piRNA from 1 species